rnacentral:rRNA from 1 species
GAUGAACGCUGGCGGCGUGCCUAAUACAUGCAAGUCGAGCGAACAGACGAGGAGCUUGCUCCUCUGACGUUAGCGGCGGACGGGUGAGUAACACGUGGAUAACCUACCUAUAAGACUGGGAUAACUUCGGGAAACCGGAGCUAAUACCGGAUAAUAUAUUGAACCGCAUGGUUCAAUAGUGAAAGACGGUUUUGCUGGCACUUAUAGAUGGAUCCGCGCCGCAUUAGCGAGUUGGUAAGGUAACGGCUUACCAAGGCAACGAUGCGUAGCCGACCUGAGAGGGUGAUCGGCGACACUGGAACGGAGACACGGUCCAGACUCCUACGGGAGGCAGCAGUAGGGAAUCUUCCGCAAUGGGCGAAAGCCUGACGGAGCAACGGCGCGUGAGUGAUGAAGGUCUUCGGAUCGUAAUACUCUGUUAUUAGGGAAGAACAAAUGUGGAAGUAACUAUGCACGUCUUGACGGUACCUAAUCAGAAAGCCCCGGCUAACUACGUG